GAAAUUUGAAGCAUUAUAAAACCACACAAGCAUUUACCCUCAUACUUGCAAUAAGAGCAUAUCAUACUUGAUACUUGCACCAACAUUUUUCUCAAGAUUAAUCGAUCUCUUAACAAUGUCAUCAACAUCAGUUGAUUACUUGAGAGAUGAACUCCUGACACAAGAAACAAGAGAUCUGAUCUCUUCUCUUCCGAAAGAGAAAGGUUGGUUAGUGAGUGAGGUGUGUCAAUUCCAAGGAUAUUGGUACACACAAGCUAUCUUACAAGGACUCUUGAUGUGCCAAAAACGCUUUGAAGCCAAAGAUUCCGACAUUAUCCUCGUCACUAAUCCNN
rnacentral:lncRNA from 1 species